rnacentral:rRNA from 1 species
UGGCCUCAAAUCAGGUAGGAUUACC